AGUGAACGCUGGCGGUAGGCCUAACACAUGCAAGUCGAACGGCAGCACAGUAAGAGCUUGCUCUUACGGGUGGCGAGUGGCGGACGGGUGAGGAAUACAUCGGAAUCUACUUUUUCGUGGGGGAUAACGUAGGGAAACUUACGCUAAUACCGCAUACGACCUACGGGUGAAAGCAGGGGAUCUUCGGACCUUGCGCGAUUGAAUGAGCCGAUGUCGGAUUAGCGAGUUGGCGGGGUAAAGGCCCACCCAGGCGACGAUCCGUAGCUGGUCUGAGAGGAUGAUCAGGCACACUGGAACAGAGACACGGUCCAGACUCCUACGGGAGGAAGCAGUGGGGAAUAUUGGACAAUGGGCGCAAGCCUGAUCCAGCCAUACCGCGUGGGUGAAGAAGGCCUUCGGGUUGUAAAGCCCUUUUGUUGGGAAAGAAAAGCAGCAGGUUAAUACCCCGCUGUUCUGACGGUACCAAAAGAAUAAGCACCGGCUAACUUCGUG
rnacentral:rRNA from 1 species